rnacentral:rRNA from 1 species
AUUGAACGCUGGCGGCAUGCCUUACACAUGCAAGUCGAACGGCAGCACGGGGGGUAACCCCUGGUGGCGAGUGGCGAACGGGUGAGUAAUAUAUCGGAACGUGUCCUGUAGCGGGGGAUAACCUAUCGAAAGAUGGACUAAUACCGCAUACGACCUACGGGUGAAAGCGGAGGACCGCAAGGCUUCGCACUAUAGGAGCGGCCGAUAUCGGAUUAGCUAGUUGGCGGGGUAACGGCCCACCAAGGCGACGAUCCGUAGCUGGUCUGAGAGGACGAUCAGCCACACUGGAACUGAGACACGGUCCAGACUCCUACGGGAGGCAGCAGUGAGGAAUUUUGGACAAUGGGCGCAAGCCUGAUCCAGCCAUGCCGCGUGAGUGAAGAAGGCCUUCGGGUUGUAAAGCUCUUUCGGCGGGGACGAAACGGUUCGUGCUAAUACCACGGACUACUGACGGUACCCGCAGAAGAAGCACCGGCUAACUACGUG